CAUGCAAGUCGAGCGGUAGCACAGAGAGCUUGCUCUCGGGUGACGAGCGGCGGACGGGUGAGUAAUGUCUGGGAAACUGCCUGAUGGAGGGGGAUAACUACUGGAAACGGUAGCUAAUACCGCAUAACGUCGCAAGACCAAAGUGGGGGACCUUCGGGCCUCAUGCCAUCAGAUGUGCCCAGAUGGGAUUAGCUAGUAGGUGGGGUAACGGCUCACCUAGGCGACGAUCCCUAGCUGGUCUGAGAGGAUGACCAGCCACACUGGAACUGAGACACGGUCCAGACUCCUACGGGAGGCAGCAGUGGGGAAUAUUGCACAAUGGGCGCAAGCCUGAUGCAGCCAUGCCGCGUGUGUGAAGAAGGCCUUCGGGUUGUAAAGCACUUUCAGCGGGGAGGAAGGCGGUGAGGUUAAUAACCUUGUCGAUUGACGUUACCCGCAGAAGAAGCACCGGCUAACUCCGUGCCAGCAGCCGCGGUAAUACGGAGGGUGCAAGCGUUAAUCGGAAUUACUGGGCGUAAAGCGCACGCAGGCGGUCUGUCAAGUCGGAUGUGAAAUCCCCGGGCUCAACCUGGGAACUGCAUUCGAAACUGGCAGGCUAGAGUCUUGUAGAGGGGGGUAGAAUUCCAGGUGUAGCGGUGAAAUGCGUAGAGAUCUGGAGGAAUACCGGUGGCGAAGGCGGCCCCCUGGACAAAGACUGACGCUCAGGUGCGAAAGCGUGGGGAGCAAACAGGAUUAGAUACCCUGGUAGUCCACGCCGUAAACGAUGUCGAUUUGGAGGUUGUGCCCUUGAGGCGUGGCUUCCGGAGCUAACGCGUUAAAUCGACCGCCUGGGGAGUACGGCCGCAAGGUUAAAACUCAAAUGAAUUGACGGGGGCCCGCACAAGCGGUGGAGCAUGUGGUUUAAUUCGAUGCAACGCGAAGAACCUUACCUGGUCUUGACAUCCACAGAACUUUCCAGAGAUGGAUUGGUGCCUUCGGGAACUGUGAGACAGGUGCUGCAUGGCUGUCGUCAGCUCGUGUUGUGAAAUGUUGGGUUAAGUCCCGCAACGAGCGCAACCCUUAUCCUUUGUUGCCAGCGGUUCGGCCGGGAACUCAAAGGAGACUGCCAGUGAUAAACUGGAGGAAGGUGGGGAUGACGUCAAGUCAUCAUGGCCCUUACGACCAGGGCUACACACGUGCUACAAUGGCAUAUACAAAGAGAAGCGACCUCGCGAGAGCAAGCGGACCUCAUAAAGUAUGUCGUAGUCCGGAUUGGAGUCUGCAACUCGACUCCAUGAAGUCGGAAUCGCUAGUAAUCGUAGAUCAGAAUGCUACGGUGAAUACGUUCCCGGGCCUUGUACACACCGCCCGUCACACCAUGGGAGUGGGUUGCAAAAGAAGUAGGUAGCUUA
rnacentral:rRNA from 1 species